GGAAGUUAAAAAACUGUUUCUUAACUUUUAAUUAAAAAAACUAAGAACCGGUUCUUAAAUAAAGACUUUAAGAACUGGUUCUUAGCUUUUUUAGUUAAAAGUUAAAAAACAGUUUCUUAACUUCC
rfam:Brassica napus, WGS project CCCW01000000 data, contig: 10084